rnacentral:tRNA from 1 species
GGAGAGGUGGCCGAGUGGCUGAAGGCGCCGCUCUCGAAAAGCGGUAUUCCGAGCAAUCGGGAUCGAGGGUUCAAAUCCCUUCCUCUCCGCCA